rnacentral:rRNA from 1 species
GACGAACCGUGCGAACGUUGUUCGGAAUCACUGGGCUUAAAGGGCGCGUAGGCGGGCCGCCAAGUCUGUGGUGAAAUCCCCCGGCUCAACCGGGGAACGGCCGCGGAUACUGGAGGUCUCGAGGGGGGUAGGGGCAUGCGGAACUACGGGUGGAGCGGUGAAAUGCGUUGAUAUCCGUAGGAACUCCGGUGGCGAAGGCGGCGUGCUGGACCCCUUCUGACGCUGAGGCGCGAAAGCCAGGGGAGCGAACGGG